rnacentral:snoRNA from 1 species
AACCGCGAUGAUGAUCAGUGCGGCCUGGUCCUGAGCGUGAAGCGGGUGUGUGGCUGUCCGUCUGGCUGGCUUCUCACGAAGUCUGUUCGUGCGGACUCGGCCGCCUCCUUGUCCGAUCGUCCAGCCGAAUUGAGGAGUGCAUGCGAAAGCCUAGCAAUUCCCAUUCGGUGUGGAGGAACUGGCCUGUGCUGAGCGGC